rnacentral:rRNA from 1 species
GACGAACGCUGGCGGCGUGCUUAACACAUGCAAGUCGAACGGAAAGGCCCUGCUUUUGUGGGGUGCUCGAGUGGCGAACGGGUGAGUAACACGUGAGUAACCUGCCCUUGACUUUGGGAUAACUUCAGGAAACUGGGGCUACUACCGGAUAGGAGCUCCUGCUGCAUGGUGGGGGUUGGAAAGUUUCGGCGGGUGGGGAUGGACUCGCGGCUUAUCAGCUUGUUGGUGGGGUAGUGGCUUACCAAGGCUUUGACGGGUAGCCGGCCUGAGAGGGUGACCGGCCACCAUGGGACUGAGAUACGGCGCAGACUCCUACGGGAGGCAGCAGUGGGGAAUAUUGCACAAUGGGCGGAAGCCUGAUGCAGCAACGCCGCGUGCGGGAUGACGGCCUUCGGGUUGUAAACCGCUUUCGCCUGUGACGAAGCGUGAGUGACGGUAAUGGGUAAAGAAGCACCGGCUAACUACGUG